rnacentral:rRNA from 1 species
GAUGAACGCUAGCGGCAGGCCUAAUACAUGCAAGCCGAACGGCAAGUUUGAUAGCAAUAUUGGACCUAGAGUGGCGCAAGGGUGCGUAACACGUAUGCAACCUGCCCGCGACAGGAGGAUAGCUCACCGAAAGGGGAAUUAACCCUCCAUAACACCAUGAGAAGGCAUCUGAUUAUGGUUAAACCGCAAGGGGUCGCGGAUGGGCAUGCGGUUGAUUAGCUAGUUGGCGGGGUAAAGGCCCACCAAGGCGGUGAUCAAUAGGGGUUCUGAGAGGAAGGUCCCCCACACUGGCACUGAGAUACGAGCCAGACUGCUACGGGAGGCAGCAGUAGGGAAUAUUGGACAAUGGUUGCAAGACUGAUCCAGCCAUGCCGCGUGCAGGAAGAAGGCCUUCUGGGUCGUAAACUGCUUUUUCCUGUGGAUAAAAUACCCGUGCGCGGGGAAUUGAAGGUAACAGGAGAAUAAGCCACGGCUAACUACGUG